ncrna:unclassified sequences malK-I RNA
UCCCGCCGCCGGGCACCACUCCACUUCAUGGUGCCGGGCGGUCAAAAAAAGGAGGAAUAAAAUCCCGCUGUGACUGGCGGUGCGGCAGUGUGGAGACCUGUCGUAAAGCGGCGCACCCAUAGCGGUGGCCGUGAGGCUGCUCCUUGCGGAGGCAGAGCAGCUGCAGUCAAGCAAAAUGGCA